UCAAACUUGGUCAUUUAGAGGAAGUAAAAGUCGUAACAAGGUUUCCGUAGGUAAGUUAAAACGCCAGCCAUCAACCGCUCUCCAGGGGAUCUUAGCUAACUAAAUUUCUUCCAGGUGAACCUGCGGAAGGAUCAUUAUCGAGUUAGGGUCUCCCGAGGCCCAACCUCCCAACCCUUUGUUUAAUUACCCCUUGUUGCUUCGGCGGGACCGUCUGUUUGACCGCCGGAGGACUGCCAAAGGUCCUCUGGUCAGCUGCCUGCCGAUAGCCACAACACCAACUCUUGACCAAGUCAUGUCAUUUCCUGAAUCAUCAUAAAAUUAAAGCAAAACUUUCAACAACGGAUCUCUUGGUUCUGGCAUCGAUGAAGAACGCAGC
rnacentral:misc_RNA from 1 species